GAUAAUAUCCCUUUACACAUCCCACGUAUAUGUUUACAUAAUAGUCAUAAAUUUGUGUGUAUUCUAAUAUGAAUUUUUAUAACCCUUUGAGAAAAUACAGUUAAACCUUUUAAUAACAGCCUUAGUUGUUCCGAUAUGUUUUGUUUGUGAUAGUAAAGUAUGGUUAUUCAAAAAAUAUAUUGUAACGUAACUUAAAAAAUUGGAUCCAAAGAAAACUAGACCGUUAUAGUAAAAUGUUAUUGUUAUAGAGAUAUCU
rnacentral:lncRNA from 1 species